UGCAGUCGGACGGUAGCACAGAGGAGCUUGCUCCUCGGGUGACGAGUGGCGGACGGGUGAGUAAUGUCUGGGGAUCUGCCCGAUAGAGGGGGAUAACCACUGGAAACGGUGGCUAAUACCGCAUAACGUCGCAAGACCAAAGAGGGGGACCUUCGGGCCUCUCACUAUCGGAUGAACCCAGAUGGGAUUAGCUAGUAGGCGGGGUAACGGCCCACCUAGGCGACGAUCCCUAGCUGGUCUGAGAGGAUGACCAGCCACACUGGAACUGAGACACGGUCCAGACUCCUACGGGAGGCAGCAGUGGGGAAUAUUGCACAAUGGGCGCAAGCCUGAUGCAGCCAUGCCGCGUGUAUGAAGAAGGCCUUCGGGUUGUAAAGUACUUUCAGCGGGGAGGAAGGCGAUGUGGUUAAUAACCUUGUUGAUUGACGUUACCCGCAGAAGAAGCACCGGCUAACUCCGUGCCAGCAGCCGCGGUAAUACGGAGGGUGCAAGCGUUAAUCGG
rnacentral:rRNA from 1 species